GACGAACGCUGGCGGCGUGCCUAAUACAUGCAAGUCGAGCGCUGACGGCUGGUACUUGUACCAACUGGAUGAGAAGCGAACGGGUGAGUCACGCGUGGGGGAUCUGACUUUGAGAGGGGGACAACAUUUGGAAACGAAUGCUCAUACCGCAUAAAAACUUUAAACACAAGUUUUACGUUUGAAAGAUGCAAUUGCAUCACUCAAAGAUGAUCCCGCGUUGUAUUAGUUAGUUGGUGAGGUAAAGGCUCAACAAGGAGAUGAUACAUAGCCGACCUGAGAGGGUGAGCGGCCACAUUGGGACUGAGACACGGCCCAAACUCCUACGGGAGGGAGCAGGAGGGGAUCUUCGGCAAUGGACGAAAGUCUGACCGAGCAACGCCGCGUGAGUGAAGAAGGGUUUCGGAUCGUGAAACUCUGUUGGUAGAGAAGAACGUUGGUGAGAGUGGAAAGCUCAGCAAGUGACGGUAACUACCCAGAAAGGGACGGCUAACUACGUG
rnacentral:rRNA from 1 species